GACAGAGGCCUCAAGCGUUAGGCGGAAUCACUGGGCUUAAAGCGUGUGUAGGCGGAUCGUUAAGUGUCUUGUGAAAUCCCACGGCUCACCCGUGGAACUGCUGGGCAUACUGGCGAUCUUGGGCCAACUAGGGGCAACUGGAACAAGCGGUGGAGCGGUGAAAUGCGUAGAGAUCCGGAGGAACACCGACGGCGCAGGCAGCGUCCUGGCCGCUUGGCUGACACUGGAGGCACGAAAGCUGGGGGAGCAAACAGG
rnacentral:rRNA from 1 species